CUUCCCUGCACCCUAACAGUGCCUAAGAACUGACCGGAUCUGAUCUCCCUUCAAGGAACCGGCCUGCUCUGAGGUGCCUGGCCAGCUCUUGAGAUAUGCAUUAUUAGGACUGUGCUUAACCCUGAGUUGCAUCUGCAGGGGCAGAGGAGGCCACAGGCAGGUGCCCAAGAGGCAUUCACUGCUACUAGGACUGAGACCCAGGAAGCUAGAGUCUGAGACAGUGGACCUAGGCCGAAGAAGUCUCAGCCAGACUACAUCCUGUUGCCCAUUAUUAGAUCAUUCCCAGCAGUUCCAGAGAACAUUAAGGUAACGCACAAAGCAGAAAUAGCAAGCGCUAUGUUUGUGAAAGAUGGCUGAGCUGCUGUGGUCAUACAUUUUGGAUUUUUCCUGAGUUGUGAAUGCUCAAUUGAACUUCUUCAGUGUUACUUUAAUAGUGUAGGAUGAAAAGAAUCAGAGGCACAAGGAGUCAACCUUGCACAGCAAGCAAUUUCCAUCCUCUUUCAAGAGAGCCCUUGUCACUGGAAAGCAUCCUGCUGUCAUCUGGUCUUUACAUUUUGUUACAAUGUUUUCAGGUCUGGGGUUUUUGGAACUUUUUUUUAGUAUUUAAUAUUAUUAUUUAACAUUUCAAAGACAGAGAGGAAGAAUGGGAAAUGUUGCGUAUCUUUUGGUUUCUUUCCAUUGUGUGGAGUCUCUUUGCUGGUUACCUAGGAAACUGCCACAGUAGAGUUGCACUGUCUGUGCUGUCACGAUUGUCAGAGUGCUUGGGAGAAUGCAGAGUGGAUGAUGUGCAUGGGUGAUGUACAGAAAUUAAAAGCUUGACAGCAUGUAUUUGUAAGAAUAAUAAAUAGAGAAGCUAGUCCCCAUGUGUACCUCACCAGCAGGGAGGCAGGAUACACGUCUGUGUCUGUAUUUUGUUGAAGAUCAGGGGAGCAGAGGAGGCACUACAAAGCAUUGGCUGCUUGAUGAAAAUAGCUAACAAACUGCAUGAGAUGCCAUACCUACCUAUUACUUGUUCCCUUCUCUCUUUUGGCAACCAAGUGACACUCAACACAAACACCUGGGUAAACGAGAAGCAGGCCUCUUAACUCCAGAAACAACGCAGAGGGAUUUCUACAUGCCUGCUUCAGAGUCACUUCAUCAUUCCUUUUAUAGAGUAGAUUUCUUCUGUGCGACUAGUCACACAGUACCUGGCUCCAACUUUUUUUCACUUGAACUCUGGUGAUAGACUCUUAUUCCCCCAUUGUUUCCUUGUUGAAAGGCAGGACUUGUUUGGCCCCAUGGACCCAAUCCAGACUAUCAUGGGUUCCUGCAAGCAAGAUCUGGAGUGCAGGGCUUCCCACAGACCAGACCAGAUGAUUCGUGAGCAGGGGUAGUGGUAUUAAUCCUCAUGGUUGCUAAUCAGUGAGUUUCCAAAACCCAGGCAAAUUAACACUGUUGCUGCUUAUCUCCCUUUCCCCCCUGCCACCAAUUUUAGUCCCCCAGGGUGAUUAAAGACCCUGAUUUCAAAGUGGCAGGGAGGUGUGUGGCAUUAACUUCCCGGAUUCCAAAGCCACGCUGAAACAGCAGCUCCAGCAAUGAGCCCCAAGGUCCAAAGCCAUCCAGCCCAGAAGAACCCAAUGGGCCUGGAGACCCAACUCUUGUCUGCUGGAUCUGGCCCAUGGGCCAACAUGUUUGACACUUGUUCAAAGCUGCUCCUGCUCUCCAAAUGCAGUACUGCUCUUUACAAAAAGUUAGUCAGCAUCACUCCAUCAGGAAGAUAUUUUCAUGAGAACUAGUUCUGCACGGUUCAAAAGGCAUGCACCAUAUACAUUACAGCAGUAGUUCUCAACCUUUUACACCUUACAUCCCACCAACCAUUUUGUCAAAAAACUCUGGUCCCACCAUGAUAAAAGCAAAACCCCACCUUUUCCAAGAAGUGUAUUUUUACAUUUACAUGUACUUUAGUAUUAUAUUAAUCAUUAAGCAGUGAGUUGAAGUCCCACUUACACGACCUUCACAUUCCACCAGUGGGAUGUGUCGGACUGGUUGAGAAACACUGUAUUACAGCAUGCACUUGCCAUGGGGCACGAACCUGCUUGGAAUAUGGAAGAAAGUCCACAGCCUGUCCUAUAGUGGACAUAAGGUUUUGUUCAUUUUACACAUACAACACCAUAUGUGUUAUCAAUAUGCCACAUAUACAGUUGAUGAAAUGCAGCUACAUUCAGCAUGAGGAAGAUUGUGCCUAUAAUGAGUUCUUCCCAAAUCUGAUUUGAUUUAUUUAGAUAUUUCUUUCAAGUCUAUGAUGCAAAAUGUCAAGAGAAAAAUACGAUACGCUGCACUCAUCAUAAGAAAUUGAAUGCCAUAUUUUCAUAAGCAGCCUUUAAUUUUACUUCAACAUUUUUCCUUCCACAGUCAGGUGCAAAUAUCAACUAGGAAUGCGGGAUGGAGAGGGAAAUUUUAGAAUUGAAAUGUCUAAUUGAGCAUGUCUAUGGUAAGCUAAUGAAAAUGCUAUCAUUUAUGACCAAACCUGAUUGUACUCAUCAGGUUAAGGCAUCUUUAAAACUGGCUUCAUUAUUUUAAAUGUCCUUUAUACAUUACAAGACUUUUUGAUUGCUUCCAGUUGGUUUUUUUUGUGUGGUAACUUUGUAUGUAGCAUCCUACUUUUCUUUACCUUUGAUGCUAUAGAACAUUCUUCUUUUAAUUAAUGUUUAUUACUGCUUAAUAUGCGCAUUUAAAACAUCCAAAGUCACAUACAAUGUAACUAAAAAAACAAUGAACCAUUUAAUCUUUUUCAUAUAUCUUUCAACUGUAAUAUAUCUUUGUAUACACUGACAUGGAAGAGCCAUUACCAGCUCUGAAAAGAGUUCAUUUCCAACUUUCUGAAUCUAUUUAUUUAUACUAUUAUUCUUUCUACCCUCCUGCUCUGUAAGUGAAUAUAGCUUUUAAGAAAAGUUACAGUGCUAAUAUUUCUUCAGAAACU